UGCUCUGUGUUUAAAGUGACUGAACUUUAUGAACCUUCGAGGCUGCAUCUGCCUUCAACCCAAAACCUGUUCUGCUCUGGAAAGUUGUUCCCCGUCAAUCCUUGGAGAAAACAAUGUGCAGCGAACAAAGUGCUUAGAAGCAGGAACCUGUCCGGUGAGAAGUUUCCCCACAACUCAGACAAAGCAAAUUGUUUUCUGCUCGAGCUCGACACUCUUUAGCGACUAAAGAGUGCAAAGCAGCAGCUGCAGAAAAUGUGUGAAGAAAGUCUUUCAGACAUGAAGUGGAUGCUGACUGUCCUGUUGCUCACAGCAGGUCGACAACUGAGACCAACACAUCAUGGAGACCAGUUCCAGAAGUCUGGAAUCCAUCCUGGAGGCAGCAAUGCUCAGAUCAGCAGGUGUUGACAGAAACCCGUACCUGGCUGGAGGAUACCUGAUAGGAAGCUCCCUGCUGGGCCUCCUCAUCAUCAUCUGGGUCUUCUGGUACCAUCGCAGCAAUCUCAGCCUUCUUAAAAGAUCCUGCAUCAUGACCUGCUCUUGCCAGUAAAACUGCCUCAUGGGCGUUCAAGUCGUAUAGAACUCUCUGAUGACUCUGCUCAUCAUAGAUGCUGUGAAUCUGAUCGUGACUUUAAUCUUGGGAGCUGCAAUAGUUCAAUCGUCCUGCUGUGAAGGAAUCAACUGUGUUAAUGUCGAAAUUGUCUGGCUCCUGUCCAGGUGGUUUGGAGUGAUUAUUCAUCUUCUGAACGCCUCGUUGUCCAUCAAUCAUCUGUGUGACCCACUGAGUGUAGCCAUGGUUCGUAUCGUCGACUUACUGAUUUCUCUGCUGAUCAUCAUUGUGAUCCCGCUUUAUCUGCAUAUCCCCAAAGCGGCCACAUCCAUUGAGGCCAGUUUAAUUGUUUUGUUUGCUCUGGCAGGAGUUGUAUCAUUUACGUUGCCUCCCUCGUCCCUGUCCACUGAACCCCUGAUGACCCACAUCCUGGCGGUCGCCAUCUGUAACUUCCUGGUUAUCUGUGUCCCCAUUGUCAGUCUUUAGCAGCACCUUUUCAAAGCACACAGCUAUGACGAGUUUGUGAAUGAGCUCAUUAUUUAUGCAAAUGUUCAGGUUUUCACAAACUUUCACCUCAUUUUCGAUGGAUUUCUGUGCAUUUUCAUCCUGAAGUUGGGUUCCGGAGAAGAACAGCAACAAGAGGAACAACAGCUGGAUUUUUAUAAUGCAGGAUUAACCGUUUCUUCAAUUGUAAGUGAUAGUUAGUGUUGCUGUACACCAGCAGAGGGCGCAUAUUGGCAAUAUUUCUUUCUGUGCUUUUUGUGUUAAUAGAUUCCUAAAAUAUACAAUAACCUAUGUUGCAAAUCUGCUGUAAAAUGACUGUAAAUUGCCAUUACAAGAAUUUAUAACAAGAAUAAACAAUUUUUAAAGAC